CUCCUUGUGGUGUAGUUGGCUAUCACGUUCGACUGUAAUUGAUAAAAUCAUAUCGAAAGGUCACCGGCUCGAUUCCGGUCGAGGAGA